rnacentral:rRNA from 1 species
AUGGCAAGUCGAGCGGGAGAGAGGUAGCUUGCUACUGAUCUUAGCGGCGGACGGGUGAGUAAUGCUUAGGAAUCUGCCUAUUAGUGGGGGACAACAUUUCGAAAGGAAUGCUAAUACCGCAUACGUCCUACGGGAGAAAGCAGGGGAUCUUCGGACCUUGCGCUAAUAGAUGAGCCUAAGUCGGAUUAGCUAGUUGGUGGGGUAAAGGCCUACCAAGGCGACGAUCUGUAGCGGGUCUGAGAGGAUGAUCCGCCACACUGGGACUGAGACACGGCCCAGACUCCUACGGGAGGCAGCAGUGGGGAAUAUUGGACAAUGGGCGCAAGCCUGAUCCAGCCAUGCCGCGUGUGUGAAGAAGGCCUUAUGGUUGUAAAGCACUUUAAGCGAGGAGGAGGCUACUUUAGUUAAUACCUAGAGAUAGUGGACGUUACUCGCAGAAUAAGCACCGGCUAACUCUGUGCCAGCAGCCGCGGUAAUACAGAGGGUGCAAGCGUUAAUCGGAUUUACUGGGCGUAAAGCGCGCGUAGGCGGCUAAUUAAGUCAAAUGUGAAAUCCCCGAGCUUAACUUGGGAAUUGCAUUCGAUACUGGUUAGCUAGAGUGUGGGAGAGGAUGGUAGAAUUCCAGGUGUAGCGGUGAAAUGCGUAGAGAUCUGGAGGAAUACCGAUGGCGAAGGCAGCCAUCUGGCCUAACACUGACGCUGAGGUGCGAAAGCAUGGGGAGCAAACAGGAUUAGAUACCUGGGGAAGGUCCAGAU